AUGGAUCCCCCGCCGCUGCCGCGCAUCAACGAGGACUACUCGGCCAACACCCCGCCCAGCCGCCGCUUCCACGUCCCCAACGUCCUCCUCCCCGACGUCGACUCCCGCGCGCUCCACCUCUCCAAGCCCAAGACCGUCGGCGGCGCCUCCACCGUCGCGCUCUCCUCCGACCUCGACGUCGUCGUCAAGCACGAUCCCUUCGAGCUGACCGUCCGCCGAGCUGGCUCGGGCGACCCCGUGCUCUCCUUCAACUCCCACGGCCUCUUCGACUUCGAGCCGCUGCAGGAGUCAAAGCCCGAGGGCGAUACCUGGGAGGAGCAGUUCAGGAGCCACACCGACACGCGCCCCCGCGGCCCGCAGUCGAUCACCUUCGACGUCUCCUUCUAUGGUGCCGACUUCGUGUAUGGCCUCCCCGAGCACGGCUCCACAUCGCUCGCCCUCCGCCCCACACGCGGCCCGGGGGUUGAGGAGUCGGAACCUUACCGCCUCUUCAACCUCGAUGUGUUCGAGUAUCUCCACGACUCGCCCUUUGGGCUGUAUGGGUCGAUCCCCUUCAUGAUUGCACAUGGCGCAAGUGCAUCUUCAGGAUUCUUCUGGCUUAAUGCCGCGGAGAUGCAGAUUGAUGUGCUUGCACCAGGGUGGGAUAGCGCGGCCUUGAUGGAGAAUGGGAGAAUUGACACGCUGUGGAUGGCUGAGGCUGGUGUGGUUGAUGCGUUCUUCUUUGUUGGUUCCGAGCCGAAGGAUGUGAUCAAGCAGUACAUUAGUGUUACAGGUACGCCCUCCAUGCCGCAGCAGUUUGCAGUGGCAUAUCACCAGUGCCGGUGGAACUACAGGGACGAGGAGGAUGUUGCUGGAGUGGAUGCUGGAUUUGAUGAGCAUGAUAUUCCAUAUGACGUGCUCUGGCUCGACAUUGAACACACUGAUGGCAAGCGAUAUUUCACAUGGGACCGUUCCACAUUCCCGGAUCCAGAGGAGAUGCAGCGGAAGAUAGCAGAUAAGGGGAGGAAGAUGGUAACUAUUGUAGACCCACAUAUGAAGAGGGACAGUGGGUACCACAUCCAUGAGGAAGCUACUGCCAAAGGUUACUAUGUUAAAGAUGCAAGCGGGAAGGACUACGAUGGGUGGUGCUGGCCUGGGUCAUCAUCAUAUCCUGACAUGUUGAAUCCUGAAAUACGGGACUGGUGGGCUGACAAGUUCUCCUAUCAAAACUACAAGGGAUCAACUCCAACGCUGUACAUUUGGAACGACAUGAACGAGCCAUCAGUUUUCAACGGCCCUGAGGUCACCAUGCCUAGGGAUGCAUUACAUAACGGUGAUGUUGAACAUCGAGAACUGCACAAUGCAUAUGGGUACUACUUCCAUAUGGCUACAUCAGAUGGGCUUCUCAAGCGAGGUGAGGGUAAAGACAGGCCCUUUGUUUUGUCAAGGGCCUUCUUUGCUGGAAGUCAACGGUAUGGGGCAGUUUGGACUGGUGACAACACUGCAGAUUGGGAUCACCUUAAAUCCUCUAUUCCGAUGGUUUUAACUCUUGGUCUUACUGGCAUGACCUUCUCUGGUGCGGAUGUUGGUGGAUUCUUUGGCAAUCCUGAGCCUGACCUAUUGGUGCGUUGGUACCAAGUAGGAGCUUUUUAUCCUUUCUUUAGAGGUCAUGCUCACCAUGACACCAAGAGGCGGGAGCCAUGGUUAUUUGGAGAGCGAAGAACUGCCCUCAUGAGGGAGGCAAUACAUAUGCGGUAUUCAUUGUUGCCCUACUAUUACUCUCUGUUCCAAGAGGCUAGUGUAACUGGUGUUCCUGUUAUGCGUCCUUUGUGGUUGGAAUUUCCUGACGACAAGGAAACAUAUAAUAAUGGUGAGGCUUUUAUGGUUGGGCCAAGCAUUUUGGCCCAAGGAAUUUACGAAGAGGGCCAGAAAUCAGUGUCGGUUUACCUUCCUGGAACGGAGUUAUGGUAUGACUUGAGAAAUGGAUCUCCAUACAAGGGAAGUGUGUCACACAAGCUGCAAGUUUCAGAAGAUAGCAUACCAAGCUUCCAAAGGUCCGGCACAAUUGUGCCAAGAAAGGAUAGAUUCAGGCGCAGUUCUACUCAGAUGGUGAACGAUCCAUACACCCUGGUGAUAGCCCUCAAUAGCUCUGGUUCUGCAGAAGGUGAACUUUAUGUGGAUGAUGGGAAAACUUAUGAUUAUCAGCAAGGGGCAUUCAUCCAUCGGCGUUUUGUAUUUGCAGACAAUAAACUAACUUCGAUCAAUAUUGCGCCUGAUAGUCUGGGCAAGAAGGUAUAUUCAACUGAGUGUGUGAUUGAACGAAUUAUAGUGCUUGGGUUAUCAUCGGGAGCAAAGAAGGCUAUCAUUGAACCUGGGAACCAAGAAGUGGAAAUUGAUCUGGGACCGAUUAGUUUAAGGAGUGGUUCAAAGUCUGUUGCGCCAACAGUCAGGAGGCCCAAUGUUCGUGUUGUAGAUGAUUGGACGAUAAGGAUUGCAUGA
rnacentral:rRNA from 1 species